CAAUGUGAGGGCGAUCUGGCUGCAACACCUGUCACCCCACUGAUUGCCAUGGUUAAUUCGGCUGAUCCCGCUGGCUAGGCAGGUGUGCCCUUCCUCCCUCACCGCUCCACGUGCGUCCCUUCCCGAAGCUGCACACUCAAGUCUAAGAGGACAGCCUUCCCCAAAUAGAGACCGACCGGUCUUCAAUCGAGGGUAUACGAGUAGCUGCGCUCCCCUGCUAGAACCUCCAAACCAAGACAUUAAUCAGUUGAAAAUUUGCAUAUGUGGGUUUUAUGAGUGAAAUCUCCAGACUUU
rnacentral:snRNA from 1 species